rnacentral:sRNA from 1 species
GAAGAGGGUGUCAGGCUCCAGGAUGCAAGAGAUACAGGAAGCUAUGAGCAGCCGAAUAUAGUUCCUGGGAGCUCCGGGUCUCUGCAAGAGCAGUAUGUGCUCUUGACCUCUGAGCUAUCUCUCAAGACCCAGCUUCCGGCAACUUUGAGAUUGUGCCUUCCAAUCCCAAGUUUUCCUUAGGCACGAGCCUUGCCUCUACCUCUAGCCUUCCUCCAAAUCCCUUAAUGAUUUGUUUGCCGACACUCUAGAAGAAUAUUUGUGCAGCUUUACGAUGACAUCUCAAUUUCCUCACAAUGCCUUUCGAUGUCACAGAGGACCUGCCGCCUGGCAGUCUGUGUAGUACUCUUGUUUGCGAACAGAUUACGUUGUUCAGCUGUGGGAAGUGUCUGCUGAAUAACCUAGACAGCAUGGCAGUGAUGCUGUCAACCCAAUUAGCCAAGCCAGGCUCAUUCUCCUCAGAGAUAUUGGAGUUUCGUCUUUCAACUCAAAUCGGUGUGAUGCUAUGUGUUCCCCUGGAGAGCAGAAUGGGUGGAGGAGCUUUGCUUCAGAAUUGUUCCUCACAGGCAGAUGAAUGGAUGAGUAGGAAACAACAACAGCAACAAGAAAAAACCCAACAGUGGGUCCACAGAACAUCGCCUGCCCUUCUCCGGUGUGAAUAACACCGGCCUGUAGACAAAGUUCUUUGAGGAGAACCGGUAUUCAUAAACC